rnacentral:rRNA from 1 species
UACGUAGGGGGCAAGCGUUGUCCGGAUUUAUUGGGCGUAAAGAGCGUGUAGGCGGCCGCACAGGUCCGUUGUGAAAACUGGAGGCUUAACCUUCAGACGUCGAUGGAAACCGUGCGGCUAGAGUCCGGAAGAGGAGAGUGGAAUUCCGUGUGUAGUGGUGAAAUGCGUAGAGAUGCGGAAGAACACCAGUGGCGAAGGCGGUUUACUGGUCUCCAACUGACACUGAACCGCGAAAGCAUGGGUAGCGAACGGG